CAGCUCGACAGGUGGGAACGUGAUUAAUACCGUUUCGAUUGUAAACAAGGCGAACCGAAAAUCCCCAUUACAUCCUGUUUUUCUGACUAUAGCGACACGUAGGCGAUUGAGCGUUAUAUAAACAAGUCAGGUUGUGAAGCGACAACAAGGAACGGACCAUUGAUAAGAAAGAUGCAGGGCACACAUCGAGUACUCCUACAGUUGUCCAGGUUUGGUUCCGUACUGUUUCGGUGCCUCGAGUGUCAGUCUUACUGAAGACAUGUGCGCCAAAGCUUGCGAUAAUAUCAACUCCGAAAAUUACCGCCAGAUCUGUCGGAAAUGCGUGGAAAAUCCCCCACUUAGUUCUGGCAUGUGCACAAGAGCUUGCGAUAAUAUCAACUCCGAAAAUUACCGCCAGAUCUGUCGGAAAUGCGUGGAAAAUCCCCCACUUAGUUCUGGCAUGUGCACAAGAGCUUGCGAUAAUAUUAACUCCGAAAACUACCGCCAGAUCUGUCGGAAAUGCGUGGAAAAUCCGCCACUUAGAGCUGACAUGUGCACAAGAUCUUGCGAUAAUAUCAACUCCGAAAAUUACCACCAGAUCUGUCGGAAAUGCGU